GACGAACGCUGGCGGCGUGCUUAACACAUGCAAGUCGAACGGAAAGGCCCUGCUUUUGUGCGGUGCUCGAGUGGCGAACGGGUGAGUAACACGUGAGUAACCUGCCCUUGACUUUGGGAUAACUUCAGGAAACUGGGGCUAAUACCGGAUAGGAGCUCCUGCUGCAUGGUGGGGGUUGGAAAGUUUCGGCGGUUGGGGAUGGACUCGCGGCUUAUCAGCUUGUUGGUGGGGUAGUGGCUUACCAAGGCUUUGACGGGUAGCCGGCCUGAGAGGGUGACCGGACACAUUGGGACUGAGAUACGGCCCAGACUCCUACGGGAGGCAGCAGUGGGGAAUAUUGCACAAUGGGCGGAAGCCUGAUGCAGCAACGCCGCGUGCGGGAUGACGGCCUUCGGGUUGUAAACCGCUUUCGCCUGUGACGAAGCGUGAGUGACGGUAAUGGGUAAAGAAGCACCGGCUAACUACGUG
rnacentral:rRNA from 1 species